rnacentral:tRNA from 1 species
GGCGAUAUGGUGUAAAGGUUGCACAUCAGUCUCAUGAACUGAAGGAGUAUGGUUCAAUUCCUAAUGUCGCUA